rnacentral:rRNA from 1 species
AUUGAACGCUGGCGGCAUGCCUUACACAUGCAAGUCGAACGGUAACAGGUUAAGCUGACGAGUGGCGAACGGGUGAGUAAUGUAUCGGAACGUGCCCAGUCGUGGGGGAUAACUGCUCGAAAGAGCAGCUAAUACCGCAUACGACCUGAGGGUGAAAGCGGGGGAUCGCAAGACCUCGCGCGAUUGGAGCGGCCGAUAUCAGAUUAGGUAGUUGGUGAGGUAAAGGCUCACCAAGCCGACGAUCUGUAGCUGGUCUGAGAGGACGACCAGCCACACUGGGACUGAGACACGGCCCAGACUUCUACGGGAGGCAGCAGUGGGGAAUUUUGGACAAUGGGCGCAAGCCUGAUCCAGCCAUGCCGCGUGCGGGAAGAAGGCCUUCGGGUUGUAAACCGCUUUUGUCAGGGAAGAAAAGGUUCUGGCUAAUACCUGGGACUCAUGACGGUACCUGAAGAAUAAGCACCGGCUAACUACGUG